rnacentral:rRNA from 1 species
AAUGAACGUUGGCGGCGUGGAUUAGGCAUGCAAGUCGCGCGGACCAGCAAUGGUUAGCGGCGAAAGGGAGAGUAACGCGUGGGUUAUCUGCCUCUUGGACCGGGAUAGCUGCGGGAAACUGCAGGUAAUACCGGAUAACGUCUUUGGACCAAAGGUGUGAUUCCGCCGAGAGAUGAGCCCGCGUCCUAUUAGCUAGUUGGCGAGGUAAUGGCUCACCAAGGCUUAGAUGGGUAGGGGGUGUGAGAGCACGACCCCCCUCACUGGGACUGAGACACUGCCCAGACACCUACGGGUGGCUGCAGUCGAGGAUCUUCGGCAAUGGGCGAAAGCCUGACCGAGCGACGCCGCGUGUGGGAUGAAGGCCUUCGGGUUGUAAACCACUGUCGUAGAGGAGGAAAUUCUGGGGGGUUCUCCCCUCGGUUUGACCUAUUCUAGGAGGAAGUCAGGGCUAAGUUCGUGCCAGCCGCCGCAGUAACAC